UUGUAGGUGUCAUGUAUCGAAUUAAUGAGAAUAGCAACUUCACUUUCUGCCCCAACUCCUCCCCUGUUUGAUUAAGGACAUUGGUAAGUUUCUUUAACUCAUCUAAAUUUUCAUCAAGAUUCUUGUUCUGAUUCAUUUUAGAUGAAAAUAACUUAUUCCUUAUGAACAUUUUAUUGCGUUGGUCUUUCUUUUCAUACAAAACCUUCAAUUUCUCCCAAGUAGCAAAAGCAGUGGUUUCUUCAAUUAUCUGUCUCAGCACAUUAUCGGGAGUUCCUUUGGAUCUUCUAAAGCUUCAAAACCUUUUGUGAACUAAAGAUUGCAGUAAUUCUUUUUUUCCACAAGGUAAAGUCUCCAUUCCCAUCAAAAUUUUCAAUUUCAUACUUCGUAAUAGUCAUUUUAUUUCCUUUCUUCUGAUGGCUCGGAUACCAGUUCUUGAAAAUAGUAGAAACAAAAGUUUUUAUUUCUUUGUAAAAUCAACUUUGAGACAAGUAUAUUCUUUUUGGGGAAAUUAAAAGUAGAGUUACCUUUUUACUCUUUUCUUUUCUCCCACCUUUUGGACUCGUUUGCUAGUUGUCAUUUACUUUUCAUUGUACUUCUUUUCUUCUUUGCAUGGUUCACCGAGGGAGACAAGGAAGAAGGAAGAAGGAAGAAGGAUUUCAAAAGGGGGUUUCUUAAGGAAGAUGAAGAGAUGAGAAAAUCAACAAGAUGAAGUUUAUAGUAGUUCAGCAUAUAGCUUACAUCCACUCUUCAAGAAGUUGAGGCUCUCUUGCAGAAGAUGGUUCAACAAAUUUCAACA